CAUAGCAUAUAAUAAACAUUUCAUCCACUGCCUAUUGAAUGCGCUACACCCAGUCCAGUAGGAGGCGCUAAUGACCCUUCAGUUGCCAACCGCCACUCAGGCCAAAAGCGCAGAAGAACAAAAAUGACCGGGAAAAUCUGACAGAAGUGAGAAGAUGAUAACAGCACAGCGGGGUUUUAGAAGCCCUAGGGGUGGGCGGAAUGACCAAAAAUCUAUUCCACGGAAUGAGUCAUUUUAUUUCACAGAACGGUAUAUUCACGGUCAGAGAAUGGAUGGAUUAUCCAGUCACGGUACAUAAUGAAAGACUUGACUGAGUUAGAAGAAGCUGAGCGACUCUUCAGAGUGAAGAUGUUAUGAUGCAGUUAUGUCAAAGUACUCGUUUUGGCUGGCCAGAUUGGAAGAGACCUGAAUGGGAAGAUGGCAGAGCUAAGACUGACAAUGUCCAGGAAAAAUGUUAACUAAAAAUGAGUGUGUUUUUCCCCAGCGAGUGAGUUUGGAAAUGUUUUAAAUGUGCCUAGAAGUUUGAAAAUGUAAUACUGAGGGAAAAAAGUGAGCGCUUUGAAAAGGCUUUAAAAAGAAAAUAAAGUUGAUGUUAAAUGAAGUUAAAGUUUUUACUUGAAAAGUUUGUACUUGUUUGUACUUGUCAAGUCUGUGCUGAAAAAAUGCAGUAAAGUUUGUAUUUGAAAAGACUUGGAAUUGUGUGUUCUGUAGAAUGAGUACAAAUAUAUGUGUAGGCUGUA